rnacentral:rRNA from 1 species
AGUGAACGCUGGCGGUAGGCCUAACACAUGCGAGUCGAACGGCAGCACAGGAGAGCUUGCUCUCUGGGUAGCGAGUGGCGGACGGGUGAGGAAUACAUCGGAAUCUACUUUUUCGUGGGGGAUAACGUAGGGAAACUUACGCUAAUACCGCAUACGACCUACGGGUGAAAGCAGGGGAUCUUCGGACCUUGCGCGAUUGAAUGAGCCGAUGUCGGAUUAGCUAGUUGGCGGGGUAAAGGCCCACCAAGGCGACGAUCCGUAGCUGGUCUGAGAGGAUGAUCAGCCACACUGGAACUGAGACACGGUCCAGACUCCUACGGGAGGCAGCAGUGGGGAAUAUUGGACAAUGGGCGCAAGCCUGAUCCAGCCAUACCGCGUGGGUGAAGAAGGCCUUCGGGUUGUAAAGCCCUUUUGUUGGGAAAGAAAUCCAGCUGGCUAAUACCCGGUUGGGAUGACGGUACCCAAAGAAUAAGCACCGGCUAACUUCGUGCCAGCCGCCGCCGUAA